GCGGCGUGCCUAAUACAUGCAAGUCGAGCGGCAGCACGGUCUUCGGACUGGUGGCGAGCGGCGGACGGCAGAGUAACGCGUAGGAACAUGCCCCAAAGUGAGGAAUAACUGCCCGAAAGGGUGGCUAAUGCCGCAUAUGCUCUUCGGAGUAAAGCUUUAUGCGCUUUGGGAGUGGCCUGCGUCCGAUUAGCUUGUUGGUGAGGUAAAAGCUCACCAAGGCUACGAUCGGUAGCUGGUCUGAGAGGAUGAUCAGCCUGACUGGAACUGAGAACGGUCCAGACUCCUACGGGAGGCAGCAGUAGGGAAUUUUCCACAAUGGGCGCAAGCCUGAUCCAGCCAUGCCGCGUGAGUGAUGAAGGCCCUAGGGUUGUAAAGCUCUUUCGCCAGGGACGAUAGUGACGGUACCUGGAUAAGAAGCCCCGGCUAACUUCGUGCCAGCAGCCGCAGUAA
rnacentral:rRNA from 1 species